rnacentral:pre_miRNA from 1 species
UCUAUUGGUCAGUUGGCAAGAUGUCGGCAUAGCUGAUAAUUUUUUUUUAAGAAAUUUUAAAAUACCGCUAUGCUGCAUCUAGUCAAUUAUUUCA